rnacentral:rRNA from 1 species
GUGUCAGCCGCCGCGGUAAUACGUAGGGUGCGAGCGUUAAUCGGAAUUACUGGGCGUAAAGCGUGCGUAGGCGGUUGGCAAAGUCAGCUGUGAAAGCCCCGGGCUUAACCUGGGAAUGGCGGUUGAAACUAGUCGACUAGAAUCUGGCAGAGGGGGGUGGAAUUCCACGUGUAGCAGUGAAAUGCGUAGAGAUGUGGAGGAACACCGAUGGCGAAGGCAGCCCCCUGGGCUGAGAUUGACGCUCAGGCACGAAAGCGUGGGGAGCAAACAGGAGGAUAUACCACCGGAUUAC